AGAAGAAGAAGAUGCUUUAUUUACAUAAAAUGGGCUCACAAGGAGCAUAAUAUAAUAUCAUUAUAAUAUUAUUCUUUUACAAAUAUAAUAAACCAUACAGUAGUAAUUCAGUGGUUGUCGUUUGUUUAUGUGUUACAUAUUUGUUUUUCGUUCAUUUUUUUACAUAAAUAAGGCCGUUAGUUUUCUCGUUUGAAUUGUUUUACAUUGUCUUAUCGGGGCCUAUUAUAGCUGACUAUGCGGUAUGGGCUUUGCUCAUUGUUGAAGGCCGUACGGUGACCUAUAGUUGUUAAUGUCUGUGUCAUUUUGGUCUUUUGUGGAUAGUUGUCUCAUUGGCAAUCAUACCACAUCUUCUUUUUUUUAUAGUAUACAUAGUUACAAACACAAAUAAGAAACAACAGUUUUCAUAUAUUAGUAUAUAUAUAUAGGAGUAUAUAUAAAAACUUCGUCUCGGGCACACCUCUAGAAAGUAACAAAAAGAAUUACUGUGAGUAGGCUAAAUAUAUCUAGCUGAACUGCAGGAGGCACCAAGGGACGGUGCUAUAUGGCAUGGUGGGUGUAUAUAUCAUAAACUUAGUCUUCUGUGCACGAUUUUAUCAUUUUUUACGCAAAUAUAUCAAAUAAACGUCAAUUUUAUUCUCUCUCUGUCUGUUACAAUCUAAUUAAAAUUAAAUCUCCGCACUCGCUCAUUCUUUAUCUUCGGCGAAAACCAUUCUAUUUUUUGGCGACAUAGCCCCCCCCCCCCCCCCAGAAAAUCAAAUGGUUGCUGCCUAAGGUCACUAUACAUACGGAAAAUAUGUCGGCGAAUUGAGGUUUCAUAUGACUUUAAAAGGAGAUGUGUAAACCAAUCAAUCGUCAAAAAAAUCAAAACUUUAUAGAUUGGGCAUACAAAGCAAGCUCUAUUAUAAUAAUUAUUUAACUUUGAUUUUCGCAUGCAUUUAUUAAUUUUGAUAGAUAGUCAGAUGCACCAGAGAGCCGUGGUUUAGUGGUUAGUGCAUCG
rnacentral:lncRNA from 1 species